rnacentral:rRNA from 1 species
CCAACAGGGAUUGCCUCAGUAACGGCGAGUGAAGCGGCAACAGCUCAAAUUUGAAAUCUGGCCUCACGGUCCGAGUUGUAAUUUGCAGAGGAUGUCUCGGGCGCGAUACCGGUCUAAGUUCCUUGGAACAGGACGUCACAGAGGGUGAGAAUCCCGUACGUGACCGGUGGUCAACCCCAUGUGAGGCUCCUUCGACGAGUCGAGUUGUUUGGGAAUGCAGCUCUAAAUGGGUGGUAAAUUUCAUCUAAAGCUAAAUAUUGGCCAGAGACCGAUAGCGCACAAGUAGAGUGAUCGAAAGAUGAAAAGCACUUUGGAAAGAGAGUUAAAAAGUACGUGAAAUUGUUGAAAGGGAAGCGCUUGCAACCAGACUUGCCCGCGGGUGAUCAACCGUCCUUCGGGGCGGUGCACUCGCCCGCGAUCAGGCCAGUAUCGGUUUCAGCAGCCGGACAAAGACUUCGGGAACGUGGCUCCUCUCGGGGAGUGUUAUAGCCCGGGGUGUAAUACGGUUAGUUGGGACCGAGGACCGCGCUUCGGCUAGGAUACNGGCGUAAUGGUUGUCAGCGACCCGUCUUGAAACACGGACCAAGGAGUCUACCAUCUAUGCGAGUGUUUGGGUGUUAAACCCAUGCGCGCAAUGAAAGUGAACGGAGGUGGGAACCCUUCGGGGGGCACCAUCGACCGAUCCUGAUGUCUUCGGAUGGAUUUGAGUACGAGCAUAGCUGGUGGGACCCGAAAGAUGGUGA